rnacentral:rRNA from 1 species
GCCGCCGCGGUAAUACGUAGGGUGCAAGCGUUAUCCGGAUUUAUUGGGCGUAAAGGGCUCGUAGGCGGUUCGUCGCGUCCGGUGUGAAAGUCCAUCGCUUAACGGUGGAUCCGCGCCGGGUACGGGCGGGCUUGAGUGCGGUAGGGGAGACUGGAAUUCCCGGUGUAACGGUGGAAUGUGUAGAUAUCGGGAAGAACACCAAUGGCGAAGGCAGGUCUCUGGGCCGUUACUGACGCUGAGGAGCGAAAGCGUGGGGAGCGAACAGGAUUAGAUACCCC